rnacentral:rRNA from 1 species
UACGGAGGGCGCAAGCGUUGUUCGGAAUCACUGGGCGUAAAGCGCGUGUAGGCGGCUUGGCAAGUCGGAUGUGAAAUCCCGAGGCUCAACCUCGGAACUGCACUCGAAACUGCCUGGCUCGAGUCCCGGAGAGGGUGGCGGAAUUCCCGGUGUAGGGGUGAAAUCCGUAGAUAUCGGGAGGAACACCAGUGGCGAAGGCGGCCACCUGGACGGUGUCUGACGCUGAGACGCUAAAGCGUGGGGAGCAAGCAGG